AUGGCCUUGCGGUACUACAACUGGGGCUGCGGUCAGCGCUUGGAUCCUGAGACCAAUUCUGAUGAUGCUUGUACAUACCACCCAGGUGUUCCAGUCUUCCACGAUGUUUUAAAUGACUGUACAAAAGGUAGACAUAAUAGUGAGAAGCCACCUGAGCCAGUCAAACCUGAAGUCAAGACUACUGAGAAGAAGGAACUAUCUGAAUUAAAACCUAAAUUUCAGGAACACAUCAUUCAAGCCCCGAAGCCAGUAGAAGCAAUAAAACGGCCAAGCCCAGAUAAACCAAUGACAAAUUUGGAAUUAAAAAUAUAUCUGUCUCCCUAAAGCAAUCACUUGAUAAACUGUCAUCAGGGAAUGAAGAAGAAGAGAAAGAAGACAAUGAUGAAAUUAAGAUUGGCACCUCAUGUAAGAAUGGAGGGUGUUCAAAGAUGUAUCGGGGUCUAGACAGUCUAGAGAAAAUGUCUGUGUAUAUCAUCCUGGAGUAGCUAUUUUCCAUGAGGGGAUGAAAUACUGGAGCUGUUGUAGAAGAAAAACUUCUGAUUUUAAUUCCUUCUUAGCCCAAGAGGGCUGUACAACAGGGAAACACACGUGGACUAAAAAGAUAAAAAAAAAGGAUGCUGGGAAAAAAGUUGUUCCAUGUAGACAUGACGGGCAUCAGACUGGAGGUGAACUUACCAUUUCAAGAAUAUGCUAAAAAUUCACUUCCAGAACUUAGUCAGGUGGAAGCAACAGCACAUUGUUAAAUGUGCACAUUGUAUUUGAAGAAGAGAAGGAAUUUGAUCAAAAUGUGAAAUUAUGGGGUGUGAUUGAUGUAAAGCGAAGUUACAUAACUAUGACUACAAUAAAGAUUGAGAUCACUAUGAGAAAAGCUGAACCAAUGCAGUGUGCAAGCCUUGAACUGCCUGCAGUGAAAAAACAGGAAAAACAGAAAGAUGACACAAUAGAUUGGGAGACAGGAGGAAGACUAUUCCAUAUUUCAGAAUCCUUAAUACUGUGUGAAGUGGUGGCUUGCUGCUGUAAUCUUUCGUUUUGUUGUUGUGUUACUGAAUCUGGCAUUUCAGGGUUAACAUUAGGUUCUUAAAAGUCAAAGUCAGUUUGUCUUUUUGUGCCUCUCUUCUUUCUUUGGUGUUAUGUAAGAUUGAUUAUUAAUUUCUCCUUACUGGUAGGAACCACAGUUGUGUCCUAUACUUGAAGAGGCUGGAAAAUAGCCCAUAACCAUAAUUGCAGUAUUUCUUUGUAUUUCUCUGUUGAGCACAGAAAUAUUAAGGAACAUGUUUUUUACAUCUUUAUAUUAUUCCAUGAUUAGUAAAGCAAGAUGAAAUGUCAAAUUUUAAUCAGUUUUUCAUGGAUUUGUGUUCUUACAGUACUUGAAAAUAUUUAAGGAAGAGAUGAAGCUCUGCAGUUUUUUUCUAUGUGGGAUGAUUACUUUUUUAAGGAGAAUUAAUUCUGAGGUAGUGUAGUAAGUAAAGGGGAAUAUAUGCAUUGUUUAACAAAUUAGAAUUUGUUUACAACUACUUGAAUUUUUAAAUUAUGUCAAAACUUACAUUACUUGCCAAGCAGUAUGAUGUAAGAGUACAGGAAGCAUAAAUAAGAAUGCCAAGGUAUCAAUUUGGUUAAAAUUCACCAUUUUAUAAGACUAAGCAAUAAU